GAUGGCGACCGGCGCACGGGUGAGUAACACGUAUCCAACCUGCCGAUGACUCGGGGAUAGCCUUUCGAAAGAAAGAUUAAUACCCGAUGGCAUAGUUCUUCCGCAUGGUGGAACUAUUAAAGAAUUUCGGUCAUCGAUGGGGAUGCGUUCCAUUAGGUUGUUGGCGGGGUACCGGCCCACCAAGCCUUCGAUGGAUAGGGGUUCUGAGAGGAAGGUCCCCCACAUUGGAACUGAGACACGGUCCAAACUCCUACGGGAGGCAGCAUG
rnacentral:rRNA from 1 species